UGUAUAAUGGUGUAUGGUGCACAUUGAUUUUUGAUAUCAAAAGAUUAGUUUAAUUCUUAAUUUUACAA
rnacentral:tRNA from 1 species